CGGGGAGCUAGCGACUCGCUGGGCUUCAGGUGAUGCGCUUCUGGAGGCUGCUGGCGGAGAGCUGUUUUUGAUUGUGGGUUUCCCUGAUGCCCUUCCUUCCUCUGUGAUAUAAGAAACAACUGGGAAGGUAGGUGUGCCCUUUUCAACAAAGACGCUGGCAAUAAGAGAAAAUCAUUGAACAGAAACAACGCGUGCAAAACAGACAGGCAGAACCUCGUCCAGACCUUCGCCAAAAAUUCUUGCUGAAUCCAUUCAAUGCAAAGGAAGUCACAGAGGCACACAUCAACAUAAUGUAGAAAUUCCUUACAGACUGAGAGAGUGACAUGUGAUACGUUUAAGUUUUGAAUGGGAUGUGAUUUUCCAAUGGCACCUGGAAAACAGAAAUGAUCCUAAGAGAAUAUCUACUGAGGGAUGGAUGUCCCACUGAAAAAAGGAAUACAAAUUGAUCAUGUCAUGAGAAAUAUUUUACGAUCUUCUUUGAUACAGACAAUUGCAGGAAGACUUUGCCAAUGUGUGAAUCUCAUCAGUAGAGACCUGGGAAACAUCACCGGCAUGCGCUCCUCCUCAGAAACACCGCGCAUGUGCGUAUUUGGUGAGAAUGGUAGAAUAGGGUAGCUAGGCACCCUGGGAAGGUUAUUAUCAUUUAUGAAUGGGAUGGCCUUUGAUUUCAAGAAAUGAAAUAGAAAUUACAAAUGGUAAUGGAUUUUUAUAGCCUUUUAAUAAGAUGCUUUUACAAGACUGGUAAUUGUGCUUCUCUAUUUGCUUUCAACGGCCACCCUUUGAGAUCGAAUUCAAAUGACCUCUUGGCUGAUUGGGCAGAAGAUUCGUCAGUUAUGUUCCCUCUGACAGUCGAGAACAACUGUUCCAUUGACAAUGGGCUUGGUUGGACCACCCACAUCAGCACAGAGGAUGCGAUGUCACUCAACUUCUGCCUCCUUCACUGAGACAUUCUCCAUUGAAGCCUGAGUCACUGUGCAAAAGCUUGACUUCCCAGGGGUUACAAAGAUAUAAGGAAGACCUUGUCACAUGACGAAGACAGGACCAGGCACUGCAAUUGAUGGUCUUAGCUAUUCGUGGAGUUUGGAAUAUUCUAGCCCAGGAAUCAAGCAUGUGAGUGGAAAAAAAUGUAGUAAUAGAUUUGAAGGGAAACUGAGCAAGUAUCAGUGAACAGUAUAUUGGUAAUUAGUGAAGCUGAGUGAUCUUGAUAUUUCAAUCUGCCUGUGUGUCUUUCUGUCUGGGGAUCUUUCUGUUUGCCUCCGUCUUUCUGUCUCUUUUCUUGUCUCC
rnacentral:sRNA from 1 species